ensembl:lncRNA
CUCAGAAAUUGCUAGUAAAUUUCACAAAUAAUUACAGAAAAUAUUUGUUAAUUUAUUAUUAUAAAAAGAAAUAGCGAGGAACACGGAAUUAAAUGUGAAAUACUGAAAUAAUAAAACAUACUCCAAUAAUCUGUUUUAUUUACAACUUUGAAAAAUCACUGAACAGAAAAUACAUAAAAAUGAUUCUAUGCAAUUAAAAAAAAUACACAAAAAUAGUGCGGCGUAAUUAAAAAUGUAUUAUUUUACCAAGCAUUUGCAUACCAUUUAUUUAUGCUUUUUAGUGUUGUCGUUUACUUAGCAAUGUUUUAACAUCAAAGUCUAUUAAAUAGUGUACUUCUGUAUACAUUUGUAUGACUUACAAAUUAAAAAAAAUAAAGAUGCUAGAAUUGCAAUAAUUACAAAGAAGUAGCAACUAACACAUUGCAUUAAACAUGAAAAUUUGAAGUAAAGACUGAAAUAGUAUUUUCUGUUGUGAGCCUCAUGUACUGUGUGUUUUUUUUCUGUUUCUAUAAUAAGGAUUGACCUCUAACGCUCCGUGUCAGUCCAUCUUUAACCACAUUAGAAAAUCAGGCCUUUAAAAAUAGAAAUUAGAGCUCAGUCUUCUAUACACACCAUGCUGCUUUUUGUAGACAUCAAAAGCGCCUGCGUGCUCCCAGUGUUUCCAUUUUCAAUCUCAAGCCGCUGCCAAAUCCAAAAACUGGAGCACUGAAUAAACAGAUCCCGUACAGAACAGCUGUUAUUAACAUGAAUGCUGGACUUGAGCUGAGGACGCAGAGUUUGAAUACGCUUUCUGCUAAAAUCUGUGGGUGCAGAUCCUGCGUGGUCCUUAAAAUGGCUGAUUUGACAAGAUAACACUUAGAAUGUGGCUUAAAAUAGCCACGGGACAUUCGCUGUUGAGCGGUUGUUGAUGUCAGAUAACACUGCCGUGAAGGAGGCUGGGAUUUGAGACGAGCUAUUCCUGUCCGGAACCAAAGAGAAGGUAAUAACAUACAGGAGAUUGCUUGUCCUCUUCUAUCAGGGACAGUUCGGCCCUCCGGACAAGUGCUUCAUUCAGACCGGAAGAUCUUUUUAUGUUCAAAAGUGAACAAUAUUUUUUGCCCAUUUUAUUGUCAGUAUGAACACUAAAAGUAACAGCACAUCUUUCCUUAACAAGUACACUAGCAGUCAAACGAUUUUUUUUUUUAAAGAAGUCUCUUCUGCUC